GCCUGGGUGGCUCAGCGGGUUGAGCAUCUGACUCUUGAUUUCAGCUCAGGUCUGGAACUCAUGGUUCGUGGGUUCAAGCCCCGUGUCAGGCU
rfam:Felis catus isolate Cinnamon breed Abyssinian chromosome A1, whole genome shotgun sequence.